AAGAAAGUAAAGAAGGGCGUAUGGCGGAUGCCUAGGCUCUCGGAGGCGAAGAAGGACGUGAUAAGCUGCGAUAAGCUGCGGCGAGGAGCAAAUAUCCUGCGACCCGCAGAUUUCCGAAU
rnacentral:rRNA from 1 species